GGGCAGGUAGCGCAGAGGUCGUCGCACCUUCUUGCCAAGAGGGAUGACGCCGGUUCGAAUCCGGCCCAGCCCU
rnacentral:tRNA from 1 species